rnacentral:rRNA from 1 species
CAGCAGUAGGGAAUCUUCCACAAUGAGCGAAAGCUUGAUGGAGCGACACAGCGUGCAGGAUGAAGGUUUUCGAAUUGUAAACUGCUGUUAUAGGGGAAGAAAAACUUGGAUAGGAAAUGAUCCAAACUUGACGGUACCUUAUUAGAAAGUGACGGCUAACUAUGUGCCAGCAGCCGCGGUAAUACAUAGGUCACAAGCGUUAUCCGGAAUUAUUGGGCGUAAAGCGUUCGUAGGCGGUUUGUUAAGUCUGGAGUUAAAGACUGGGGCUCAACCCCAGCCCGCUCUGGAUACUGGCUGACUAGAGUUACAUAGAGGUAAGUGGAAUUCUUAGUGGAGCGGUGGAAUGCGUAGAUAUUAGGAAGAACACCAAUGGCGAAGGCAGCUUACUGGAUGUACACUGACGCUCAGGGACGAAAGCGUGGGGAGCAAACAGGAUUAGAUACCCUGGUAGUCCACGCCGUAAACGAUGAUCAUUAGCCGCUAGAAUAUUUAGUGGCGCAGCUAACGCAUUAAAUGAUCCGCCUGAGUAGUAUGCUCGCAAGAGUGAAACUUAAAGGAAUUGACGGGGACCCGCACAAGCGGUGGAGCAUGUGGUUUAAUUUGAAGAUACGCGUAGAACCUUACCCACUCUUGACAUCUUCCGCAAUACUAUGGAGACAUAGUGGAGGUUAACGGAAUGACAGAUGGUGCAUGGUUGUCGUCAGCUCGUGCCGUGAGGUGUUAGGUUAAGUCCUGCAACGAGCGCAACCCCUGUCUUUAGUUACUAACGGAUAAUGCCGAGGACUCUAGAGAGACUGACUGGGUAACCAGUAGGAAGGUGGGGACGACGUCAAAUCAUCAUGCCUCUUACGAGUGGGGCAACACACGUGCUACAAUGGACGGUACAAAGAGAAGCAAUAUGGUGACAUGGAGCAAACCUCAAAAACCGUUCUCAGUUCGGAUUGAAGUCUGAAACUCGACUUCAUGAAGUUGGAAUCGCUAGUAAUCGUAGAUCAGCUACGCUACGGUGAAUACGUUCUCGGGUCUUGUAC